rnacentral:rRNA from 1 species
UACGGGAGGCAGCAGUGGGGAAUAUUGCACAAUGGGCGCAAGCCUGAUGCAGCCAUGCCGCGUGUAUGAAGAAGGCCUUCGGGUUGUAAAGUACUUUCAGUCGUGAAGGAAGGUGUUAAGGUUAAUAACCUUAGCAAUUGACGUUAGCGACAGAAGAAGCACCGGCUAACUCCGUGCCAGCAGCCGCGGUAAUACGGAGGGUGCGAGCGUUAAUCGGAAUUACUGGGCGUAAAGGGCACGCAGGCGGUUAAUUAAGUUGGAUGUGAAAUCCCCGGGCUUAACCUGGGAAUGGCAUUCAAGACUGGUUAGCUAGAGUCUUGUAGAGGGGGUAGAAUUCCAUGUGUAGCGGUGAAAUGCGUAGAGAUGUGGAGGAAUACCGGUGGCGAAGGCGGCCCCUGGACAAAGACUGACGCUCAUGUGCGAAAGCGUGGGGAGCAAACAGGGAUUAGAUACC